ACUAUUAAAUUGAGGGAGCAAAAGUAGUAUCGGCUCCAAAUAUCGGCUCAAGAAAAUCGGCAGUCCGUAUCGGUAAAAAAUCGGUAUCGGCAUCGGCCCUAAAAAACCGGUAUCGGUCGAUCCCUAGUUGCGCCACAGCAUCGCGACUCGGCCGUCCCAAUUCGUCGGCUCAUUCGACAACGAAUGCGCCCUUCCAUCCCCGGACAACAGCGGAAGCAGCGGGUGGAUCCUACCCGGCCCAGGGUAUCCCAGGAUUCAUUGCGCGCCGGCUUCGAAGAGAGGCAACGGCGGCCAACGAUAACGCAAACGGAGAAAAAAACUUUUUUAAUGUAAGUAUCAGGCUUCAAAAAUAUACAAAUGUGAUGUUUAGCUAGCUAAAGGUACAUAUGUUUCGUAAACCGAGCGGCUUUGAAACAUGAUUAUUGCUCUUAAAAAUUGUUUUUUUAGGUUGUGUGACAGUUGCGGAGCUGCUGUACAAGACAGAUGAAUAUUCCCAGCACAUUAGAAACGUAACGUAUUAAUAAGUUUAUUACUGGUAAACCAGAUGUAGAUGUUUUGCUGCUUUUGUUGGUGAUAUAAAGUAAAACGGACUGCUGUGUUUUGUUUAAGGGAGCAGACUGCUCACUUCAUACAACUAGGCUGCAAGAAAAACUGUUAAAUUUAACUAUAGCCAGUCACAAUGCGGACAUGGUGAUGAAUUUGUCCGUCAAGGUGUCCAGAGAGCUGCAGAGACCUAGGCAAGUUGGUUUGGCUAGUGGACAGUGGUGGAAAAGCUUUCUUCACCCCUUCGGUCCCACACCGUAUCCCCUUCUCCUCACCACAGGGACUCUGCAGCUCGGGGGUCAUUCUGCAUGGGCACAGCUAGGACCACUUGACACAGACCCAGUCUGUAUUUUAAUUGUGUUAUGUAUGUGUAAUGUAUUUUAAUAUCUACCGUUCUGCAUUUUGUUCCUUUAUUAAAAAUAAAUCUGAGAGUUGAUCUA